rnacentral:piRNA from 4 species
ACUUGGAUAACUGUGGUAAUUCU